UCUAUCAUUCUCUUCCACAGUAGCACUGAAAUUAGGGGAUAAAGAUGGGUUCUAAUUUCUCAAUUUUACUUCUUCUUCGAUCAAACAGAACUACUUCUUUUUUCUGGGUGUAUGCAUCAAGAAAAUGGCGAAAUGAUGGUGGCAAGAAUAAAAUUGGCAAAUGAGUAGAGAUAUUCCUAUGCUUCUUGAAUCAAUUUUCAUAUGCCACUGUUAGUAUUCAGAAACUCUGCAGAAGAUAUGUUGGUUGAUUUCUUGAACUCUCAAACAACCAGUUCUGUAUGAACAUGAAGUUGAGGUAUUUCCCUCUUUCUGGUAAGCCAUUUGACACAUCCUUCCUUUUUACCUUGAUAAAAAUGAAAUCUGCACUUUAGUCUUCUGUAGCAGGUUUCACAAUUUUUUUCCCAAUAGAAUUUGUAGCAGCUGGGGCAACCUUUUUAGUUUUCAUGAUUAAGAUGCUCAAUCUUGUAUGCUACACCAGACUCUAAGAUAUCUUAGUUUUUUGGAUAACCAUGGUGUCAUAUUCCACAGUAUACUUGCAUCCUUCUGUCGUUUUGUUUGUACAUGUAUAAGACAACUCUGUCCAUUAAGAUGGAUUUGACCCUGCUCUCCCAUGGUUCUCGUUCAAAGGGGGCACACCUUUGGUAAAAUGGAUUUUAGAUCCUUUUCAGAUUUGGAAACCUAUGAGAAAGAUUUGGAAAACCACACCAGCUUCUGUUUGUUGGAUAUUAAUUAUGGAAGGGAAGAAAUGCAAGAUGUUUUUAAAGAAAAGAAGAUUCUGUAUAGAAGAUUAAGGUUAGUUUCUUAUGACUUUUGGCUUUUUGGUUGAUCUUCAACAUGAAAAUAGCUUGGUAAAUUUCAUAGACUCAUUACACGGAUAUUUGUACAAAAGAACCUUUUCUUUUUGCUUUUGUGUAUAUGAGGUUCUGACGAUAUUAAUGUACUAGCACCAAGUUAGUGCUACUGCAGAUUUUCAUUAUUAUUGUAUUAGCAUUAUAGAAUUAAUUA